AUUGAACGCUGGCGGCAGGCUUAACACAUGCAAGUCGAACGAGUGGCGGACGGGUGAGUAAUGCUUGGGAAUCCAGCCUAUGGAGGGGGAUAACUACGGGAAACUGUAGCUAAUACCGCGUACCAUAGGAUGAGCCCAAGUGGGAUUAGGUAGUUGGUGAGGUAAAGGCUCACCAAGCCGACGAUCUCUAGCUGGUCGGAGAGGAUGACCAGCCGCAUUGGGACUGAGACACGGCCCGGACUCCUACGGGAGGCAGCAGUGGGGAAUAUUGCGCAUGGGGGGAAAGCUGCUGACGCCAUGCCGCGUGUGUGAAGAAGGCCUUCGGGUUGUAAAGCACUUUCAGCGAGGAGGCGUUACUCGCAGAAGAAGCACCGGCUAACUCCGUGCCAGCAGCCGCGGUAAUUC
rnacentral:rRNA from 1 species